CCUACGGGUGGCAGCAGUGGGGAAUAUUGGACAAUGGGGGGAACCCUGAUCCAGCCAUGCCGCGUGUGUGAAGAAGGCCCUCGGGUUGUAAAGCACUUUCAGUGAGGAAGAACGCCUGGUGGUUAAUACCCAUCAGGAAAGACAUCACUCACAGAAGAAGCACCGGCUAACUCCGUGCCAGCAGCCGCGGUAAUACGGAGGGUGCGAGCGUUAAUCGGAAUUACUGGGCGUAAAGCGCGCGUAGGUGGCUUGAUAAGCCGGUUGUGAAAGCCCCGGGCUCAACCUGGGAACGGCAUCCGGAACUGUCAAGCUAGAAUGCAGGAGAGGAAGGUAGAAUUCCCGGUGUAGCGGUGAAAUGCGUAGAGAUCGGGAGGAAUACCAGUGGCGAAGGCGGCCUUCUGGACUGACACUGACACUGAGGUGCGAAAGCGUGGGUAGCAAACAGGAUUAGAUACCCUGGUAGUC
rnacentral:rRNA from 1 species